rnacentral:rRNA from 1 species
AUACGAAGGGGGCUAGCGUUGUUCGGAAUUACUGGGCGUAAAGCGCGCGUAGGCGGACUGAUCAGUUGGGGGUGAAAUCCCAGGGCUUAACCCUGGAACUGCCUCCAAUACUGUCAGUCUUGAGUUCGGGAGAGGUGAGUGGAAUUCCUAGUGUAGAGGUGAAAUUCGUAGAUAUUAGGAAGCACACCCGUGGCGAAGGCGGCUCACUGGCCCGAUACUGACGCUGAGGCGCGAAAGCGUGGGGAGCAAACAGGAUUAGAAACCCUAGUAGUCC